UACGGAGGGAGCUAGCGUUGUUCGGAAUUACUAGGGCGUAAAGCGCGCGUAGGCGGCUUUGUAGUUAGAGGUGAAAGCCCGGGCUCAACCCGGAAUUGCCUUUAAGACUGCAUCGCUGAAUCCGGGAGAGGUGAGUGGAAUUCGAGUGUAGAGGUGAAAUUCGUAGAUAUUCGGAAGAACACCAGUGGCGAAGGCGGCUCA
rnacentral:rRNA from 1 species